CAAACAAAAAAACCCCCCUCCAUAUCUCUCUGCACGGACUGUUUGCAGAGUGCAGCCUGGCUGCACAAAUGCUCCUGGGUCCACAGGUCUCUCAUUCUGUUGAUCUGUAUUUAUGGUGUCUCAGAAAAGAAGGAAGUUUUGGUGAUGAGCGUCUCCCCGCUACCUCCCCAGGAUGCCCAAAUCCUGACGGAACCUGUUUUUGGCUUGCUUGGAUGUAGCUCUGCUCCAGUGAGCUCUGCGUGGUGUGGUCAAACCUGCCCUYGUGAAACGGGAAGAGUGCUGCCGCGCUGGCUCUGCUGGGCGGUGGGAAGGCCAGUCCAGGAACAGCCACAGAGCAAGGCCUGGAUGGAGGAUGCUGGACAAGCCACAGCGGGGUUUCCCUGCAGGUGAGACAGGUGCUUGCGGCAGCGUCAGGACCAGGGUUGCCUUUGGGGGGGAGCUCGGGGUCUGCAUG
rnacentral:lncRNA from 1 species